GCAGUGUUUGAGGUGCAGAACUGCAGAGGUUUGGAUGGAUGGAUGGAGGAAAAACUACUCCCUCAAUAAGAAAUUCAGAAGUUAAAUAACAAGUUCAUAAGACUGACAAGACAGAUUCAUCAUGGAAGUUUGUUAGACACAAGCCUCUAAAUACUGUGGCAAAUAUAAAGAACGCGACGACAAGAAGACAGUUUCCCAGCACAAGAUUAAAGUCCAGCAGUUACAUGUGGGUGAGAAGCACCAGCCACCUGUGGGGAUGUCUGCAAGGAUGAUGCCACCAUCAGCUGGCGCCCUCUGCAUGCGCCACAACCACCAGGAGUGCACACAGAACCCCUCCCACCUGCUGGAUCACCUGGUCACAGUGGAAGAGGAGUGGCUGGCAGACUUGUGGGCCCGGUGAGCUCAGGACCUGGAGUGGGAGCAGGAGAGGGACUGGGAGGACUGUACCUUCUAGGAAAGGCUCCUUGCUCUUGAGGAGAGGCACAUUGCCUUCCUGUAAGCAAUUGCUUGAGGCCUGGGAGUGGCAGGCUGCCAUGGUGGCCAGGGCCAUGGAGGCAGCAAAGGAGGACAACUGGGUGCUGGACACCAUCCUGGCCCUGGCAGUCACCUUUGUGCCACCUGGCACCCAUCCCCUGGCCCGAGCCCCAUCUGGGACCUGACAACUGCCCAUGGCCCAGCACCUCCCAGUGGGCUUGGGAUGAGGUCAACACCACCUGCA